AGCCAUCCAGUGCAACCAGCCCAACCAGGCGCUCCUCAUCCUGGAGAAGGCACAGUGGCUGUACCCAAUGCCGCGAGUGUGUGGCCUGAUGGAGUCUCUCAACUAGGAACCACAAACUGCUGGUGACCAACCCCAACCCACAGACACAACCCAUGCCACCCACAGGAAAGCAGGUGGGACCGAUGCUCCCUAGGCCAACGGUGAAGCUGGAGGAGGAGAGAGCACCAAAGGCUACACUGCAGAAGGAGUUGCAGCUGUGAAAAGGGUCAAGCAAUGUAAGGAUUAUUAUGAGAUCCUGGAGGUGAGGAGAGGGGCCUCAGAUGAGGACCUGAAGAAGGCCUACCACAAACUGGCCCUCAAAUUCCACCCAGACAAGAACCAUGCACCUGGCACCACUGGAGCUUUCAAAGCCAUUGGCACAGCAUAUGCAGUACUCAGCAACCCGGAGAAGAGGAAGCAUAUGACCACUUGGGCGAUAACAGGAGUCAGGCAGUCAGGUCCAGCAUCGUCAUGGGGAUUUCCACCACGGCUUUGAGGCUGACAUCUCCCCUGAAGACCUCUUCAACAUGUUCUUUGGCAAUGGCUUCCCUUCUAGUAAAGUCUACGUCUACAGCAAUGGCUGCAUGCGCUAUACCUACCAGCAAAGGCAGGGCUGCAGGGAGAAGCGGAGUGACGGCAGCUUGCGGGUGUUCGUGCAGCUGAUACCCAUCCUCAUCCUCAUGUCAGCUCUCAGCCAGCUCAUGGUCUCCAGUCCACCCUACAGUCUGAGCCCAAGACUGUUUGUGGGCCACAU
rnacentral:lncRNA from 1 species